CAACCGGCUUUAGACCUGGCAAACGGGCGAGUUGGAUAAUCCGCGGGCAGGUUAUUGUACUCGCAAGUUACUUGGGCAUGAAUAAAAUUUACCCGUAAAUUUUUGAAUAGCCAACAUUUUUAUCCAUACCUGUCCGUGGGCGGGCAGGUGGAUAUGCGGGUUAUUCGCAAUUUUUUUUUCUUUUUCACUCUUAUAUUUUUUAAAUGCAAAACACACACACACACAUAUAUAAGUUUAAAAGCGUAAUAUAACUCAUUAUUUAAAAUAUCAUAAUAUACAAAAAAAAAAAGUUUUAAAGCAAAAAUAUUUCAUAAUAUAAAAGACACGUGAUAAAAAAUUAGGAUUUAAAAGCUAAUAUAACUCAUUAUUUAAAAUAUCAUAAUAUACAAAAAAAUAUUAAAGUUUUAAAGCAAAAAUAUUUCAUAAUAUAAAAGACACGUGAUAAAAAAUUAGGAUUUAAAAGCUAAUAUAACUCAUUAUUUAAAAUAUCAUAAUAUACAAAAAAAUAUUAAAGUUUUAAAGCAAAAAUAUUUCAUAAUAUAAAAGACACGUGAUAAAAAAUUAGGAUUUAAAAGCUAAUAUAACUCAUUAUUUAAAAUAUCAUAAUAUACAAAAAAAUAUUAAAGUUUUAAAGCAAAAAUAUUUCAUAAUAUAAAAGACACGCGAUAAAAAAUUAGAAUUAGAAUUUUUAGGAUGGGUAUAUAUAUAUAAAUUAAGAAAAUAUAUUUUGUAAUUAAAAACUAUAUGUAUGGGUACUCGUAGAUACUCGUGGGUUAUCUAAAAUGCUCAUAAUUUAAUGAAUAUUCAUCCGUUUUAUUCGUAAUUUGUUGGGUUGAAAAAGUUAGUAUCUAUACCCGUAAAUUUACGGAUAAUCUGCAGGCACCCGUCAGUUUGGAUUGAGAUUGGUAGGU
rnacentral:lncRNA from 1 species